UAGGGAAUCUUCCGCAAUGGGCGAAAGCCUGACGGAGCAACGCCGCGUGAGUGAUGAAGGUCUUCGGAUCGUAAAACUCUGUUAUUAGGGAAGAACAAAUGUGUAAUUAACUAUGCACGUCUUGACGGUACCUAAUCAGAAAGCCACGGCUAACUACGUGCCAGCAGCCGCGGUAAUACGUAGGUGGCAAGCGUUAUCCGGAAUUAUUGGGCGUAAAGCGCGCGUAGGCGGUUUUUUAAGUCUGAUGUGAAAGCCCACGGCUCAACCGUGGAGGGUCAUUGGAAACUGGAAAACUUGAGUGCAGAAGAGGAAAGUGGAAUUCCAUGUGUAGCGGUGAAAUGCGCAGAGAUAUGGAGGAACACCAGUGGCGAAGGCGACUUUCUGGUCUGUAACUGACGCUGAUGUGCGAAAGCGUGGGGAUCAAACAGG
rnacentral:rRNA from 1 species